rnacentral:rRNA from 1 species
UACGAAGGGUGCAAGCGUUGUUCGGAAUUACUGGGCGUAAAGCGUGUGUAGGCGGCCUCGUAGGUCGGAUGUGAAAGCUCUCGGCUCAACCGGGGAAAGUGCAUUCGAAACCACAAGGCUUGAGUGUCGGAGAGGAAGGCGGAAUUGUCGGUGUAGAGGUGAAAUUCGUAGAUAUCGACAGGAACGACCUGCGGCGAAAGCGGCCU